AAGACCUUGCACUUUUGGAGCGGCCGAUGUCUGAUUAGCUAGUUGGUGGGGUAAUGGCCUACCAAAGCUUCGAUCAGUAGCUGGUCUGAGAGGACGGCCAGCCACACUGGGACUGAGACACGGCCCAGGCUCCUACGGGAGGCAGCAGUGGGGAAUUUUGGACAAUGGGCGCAAGCCUGAUCCAGCCAUGCCGCGUGAGUGAAGAAGGCCUUCGGGUUGUAAAGCUCUUUCAGUCGGGAAGAAAAGGUUGCGACUAAUAAUCGCAAUUCAUGACGGUACCGAAAGAAGAAGCACCGGCUAACUACGUGCCAGCAGCCGCGGUAAUACGUAGGGUGCGAGCGUUAAUCGGAAUUACUGGGCGUAAAGGGUGCGCAGGCGGUUUUGUAAGUCAGAUGUGAAAUCCCCGGGCUUAACCUGGGAACU
rnacentral:rRNA from 1 species